rnacentral:pre_miRNA from 1 species
UGUGUACUCCCUCCGUUCCAAAAUACUUGACUUCCAUUUGUCCAAAAAUGGAUGUACCUAUAUACUAAAACAUGUCUAGAUACAUAUAUAUUUUGACAAAUAGAAGGCAUGUAUUGUGCAACGGAGGGAGU